rnacentral:rRNA from 1 species
GCAACCUACGGGGCGCAGCAGUGGGGGAUAUUGGACAAUGGGGGAAACCCUGAUCCAGCGACGCCGCGUGAGUGAAGAAGUAUUUCGGUAUGUAAAGCUCUAUCAGCAGGGAAGAAAGAAAUGACGGUACCUGAGUAAGAAGCCCCGGCUAACUACGUGCCAGCAGCCGCGGUAAUACGUAGGGGGCAAGCGUUAUCCGGAUUUACUGGGUGUAAAGGGAGCGUAGACGGCUGUGCAAGUCUGAAGUGAAAGCCCGUGGCUCAACCGCGGAACUGCUUUGGAAACUGUAUAGCUUGAGUACUGGA